rnacentral:rRNA from 1 species
CCUGGUGUAGCGGUGAAAUGCGCAGAUAUCAGGAGGAACACCGGUGGCGAAGGCGGAUCUCUGGGCCGAUACUGACGCUGAGGAGCGAAAGCAUGGGGAGCGAACAGGAUUAGAUACCCUGGUAGUCCAUGCCGUAAACGUUGGGCACUAGGUGUGGGCGACAUUCCACGUUGUCCGUGCCGCAGCUAACGCAUUAAGUGCCCCGCCUGGGGAGUACGGCCGCAAGGCUAAAACUCAAAGGAAUUGACGGGGGCCCGCACAAGCGGCGGAGCAUGUGGCUUAAUUCGACGCAACGCGAAGAACCUUACCAAGGCUUGACAUACACCAGAAAGCUGCGGAGACACGGCCCCCCUUGUGGCUGGUGUACAGGUGGUGCAUGGCUGUCGUCAGCUCGUGUCGUUAGAUGUUGGGUUAAGUCCCGCAACGAGCGCAACCCUUGUCUCGUGUUGCCAGCAGGCCCUUGUGGUGCUGGGGACUCGCGGGAGACUGCCGGGGUCAACUCGGAGGAAGGUGGGGACGACGUCAAGUCAUCAUGCCCCUUAUGUC